rnacentral:rRNA from 1 species
GUGGGGAAUAUUGCACAAUGGGGGAAACCCUGAUGCAGCGACGCCGCGUGAGUGAAGAAGUAUUUCGGUACGUAAAGCUCUAUCAGCAAGGAAGAAAAUGACGGUACUUGACUAAGAAGCCCCGGCUAACUACGUGCCAGUAGCCGCGGUAAUACGUAGGGGGCAAGCGUUAUCCGGAUUUACUGGGUGUAAAGGGAGCGUAGACGGUAUGGUAAGUCAGAUGUGAAAGCCCGGGGCUCAACCCCGGGACUGCAUUUGAAACUAUCAGACUAGAGUGCAGGAGAGGUAAGUGGAAUUCCUAGUGUAGCGGUGAAAUGCGUAGAUAUUAGGAGGAACACCAGUGGCGAAGGCGGCUUACUGGACUGUAACUGACGUUGAGGCUCGAAAGCGUGGGGAGCAAACAGGAUUAGAAACCCGAGUAGUCC